GCAGGAAAGGAGGAAAUUAUCGAUAGAAAAAGCUUGGAGAUCCUGUUGCAGUCACCCAUUGCACUGUUGGAGGCUGGGAUUAGUCCAUAAGUCUGCAGCCAGAGCAUCCCAGACAACUGCCCUUUCAGCUCCAAAGCGUGCAGCCUCAUCCGCCCUCUGGAAUUCUGAAGCAGAAAUUCUAAAAGCCAGAGAACCGCAGAACCAUGACACAUCACCGCUGCAGCCACCAUGUCAUGAGGACAUUUAAGCAGCCCGUGGACAGGAACUGAAGGUCCUGGGAAACAACCAGUCCCUUUGCCAACCCCUUCAAGCCUUCAGAUGACCGCAGCCUCGUGAAAAAUUUGGAGCCAGAGCCACCCUCCUAAGCCAAUCCUGAAUUCCUGAUCCACACAAUGGUUUGCGAGAAUCUGAACGUCCUCCCACCUCCAAAGCCACCACCUGGGUCCACAGCCACCCCGUCUUUGCUCUCCCUGACCAUUGCCACAACCUCCUCUGUGAUCUCACUGCUUCACUCCUGCCCUUCUCCAGCCUGUUCUGCCCAAGCAGCCGCCCUGCUCCAGAAGCUGUCCUGCCCCUCACUGAACAGGUGGACCUGUGAGGGCAGAGGUGACCCCAUGGCUUCUGGGAGGCUGCAGGAGACUGUCCUGGGAAAACAGGAUUAACAGGGUCCUUCUGAGGGGAAGUCUUUAUUAGAGGAGUGACUCCUGAGGUGGUCAGUGGCGAAGACGGUGUCAGGGCCAGGUGAGGAGUGUGCCCAUGGCCCUGUUCCAUUAAUCUCCGCAGUUUGGAUGACAGCCUGAGUGCGUGCAUGAGUAUGAAAGGGGUGUGUGUGUGCCUUAUGCCUGC